rnacentral:sRNA from 1 species
GUCCAUUAGCACGCACUGCAGUAGUAGCACGAUGUAUAGCUAAGCGUAUUUUUUACGGUAACCAUCUCCAUUAGGGGUAAGUUCGUUUUUCCUUAUACUUUAGUCUUGUUUAUAAUAUUUAAGACUUUAGGUAACUGUUCUUAUACGUGUUCGAUAGUAUUUUCGUGUUAACGUUUUACAUACUUGUUUAUUUACCGUAGAGUUAUGGUGCGUUUGUGUGACAAGCGUGGUUUGCUAGUUUAUUUGUGAGUUUCUAUUUCGUAGUCUUAUACGGCGUUAUUGGUCAUACAUUGACUGUUUUGUGAUGUUAAGGGGUCUUAUACACUUAACUUUAUUGCAUGUUAAGAGGUCUUAUACGCUUAACUGUGACUGUGUUUGAUACGUUAAGGGGUCUGAUACACUUAACGGUUUUGUAGAGCGAGUAUUGUUCGGUGUGAUUGUAUGGCGUGCAGUUGCGGUAAUUAGGUAAAUAAGUAUAUUGUGAAAGUGAAACGUUUAAUUGAAAAUAUUGUUAUUUAUAUAUUAUUAAAAGGUUCCAGCAAGGCUCCAGCAAUGUCCCAGUGAUGAUUCGGCCAUAGUCACCAGUGUUCCGGUAUUGAACAUCUUACCACCUGUGUAACCUCCUUCGAGUAUUCACUUACUACGCUGGAAGACGGUGGACGGAAGCCGUCAUCUUAGGACGUGGUACCGAAGGAGGACACAUUGGAGGAACACUGGAGGGACACUGCUGUCCAAUAUACCACCAUAGGACAUUGACGAAUCAGAUAUUAGAAAUUUUUUUUUUGUUAAUAUUUUGUGUGUGUGUGAAUGUGUAUAUUUGUAAAUUUAUUGAUUUUAUAUAUAGAUAAAGAUUGUAAAUAC